rnacentral:misc_RNA from 1 species
AAGUCGUAACAAGGUUUCCGUAGGUGAACCUGCGGAAGGAUCAUUAACACGUAUCCAAACGUUAAAACCCCCCCCGUGAACCUUCAUCCUGCUCUUGUAACCCGCGAAGCUUGCAAUCUCUGGUAAAUCAUAGCCCGGAAAGUAGUUUGAUUCAGAGACCUCUGGCCCGUGCGAACAUUUGAGCUUCACAUUAAACUGUGGGGUUAUAAGGGGGCAUGGGGACCCUUUGGCAUAGCUCCUGCCCGAGUGUACGGUCUGCAGGAAUCGUGAAGCGCUAUCCUUGCACAAUCAAUGACACUUUCAGACACUGACUGCUUGGGGAAACAAUGCCUAUAGAACUACCGCAGUCGAUUGUAACUGUAAUACAUUGGGUAAAAAAACCGAACAACUGUUAACAAUGGAUAUCUUGGUUCUC